UACAGGGGGGGCAAGCGUUGUCCGGAAUUACUGGGCGUACAGCGCGCGCAGGCGGUCCACUACGUGCCGUGUGACAGACGUCGGCUUAACCGACGUAGGCCAGGGUACACGGGUGAACUUGAGGCAGAGAGAGGGAUGUGGAAUACCCGGUGGAGCGGUGAAAUGCGUAGAGAUCGGGUGGAACACCAGUGGCGAAGGCGGCAUCCUGGACCGGUAUUGACGCUGAGGCGCGAAAGCCAGGGGAGCAAACGGG
rnacentral:rRNA from 1 species